rnacentral:misc_RNA from 1 species
AAGUCGUAACAAGGUUUCCGUAGGUGAACCUGCGGAAGGAUCAUUACCAAUUAAAAUAUGAAUAUGGGCGCAAGCCUAUAUUUAUAAACCCCAUGUGCACCGUAUUUUUUUGUUUAUGUUUUCAGUUGCCCUUUUCGCUCUUUCAUUUUGUCUUUUUGGCGGAAGGAUUGAUUUUUUAAUUAAAAUCUUUCCCCCGUUCAUGGGAUAAAAAAAAGGGGGGAGUGGGGAGGAGCGCUGAGAACAACCCCAUCUAACCUGUCUGACUUGUGUUUGUCUGAAGUUCCUUUUUUUUUUAAAUGUCAAACGCUGCAUGGCAUUGAUAUUUAAAUUGAAAAAAAAAUUAAAUACAACUUUCAACAACGGAUCUCUUGGCUCCC